GGACGCUCAUGAGGGUUUCGGCCCUUGUGGGAGUGGCGGACGGGUGAGUAGCGCGUGGGAACCUGCCCCUUUGUGGGGGAUAACCGAGGGAAACUUCGGCUAAUACCGCAUGCGCCCCUGGGGGAGACCUUGGGGGGAAAGAUUUAUCGCAGAGGGAGGGGCCCGCGUCGGAUUAGGUAGUUGGUGGGGUAACGGCCUACCAAGCCUUUGAUCCGUAGCUGGUCUGAGAGGAUGAUCAGCCACACUGGGACUGAGACACGGCCCAGACUCCUACGGGAGGCAGCAGUGGGGAAUAUUGGACAAUGGGCGCAAGCCUGAUCCAGCACUGCCGCGUGAGUGAUGAAGGCCUUACGGUUGUAAAGCUCUUUCGGGGGGGACGAUGAUUACGGUACCCGCAGAAGAAGCCCCGGUUAAUUUGUG
rnacentral:rRNA from 1 species